UUCCCAUCUCGGUUGGUUCAACCUGGCAGGCCGAGUGGUCUUUAUAUCGGAGAGAUGAGGGAGCGGAGCGUCUGCUCUGGCUGCGCUCCUCCGAGGUCAUGCCUACUGACUCCUCAAACAUUAGUCAUCUUGCAAGCUCUUCUGUGUUUACUGUCCUUGGUCCUCAUCUUGUCAUGGUCACUUCGACGAUGUAAGGUCAAACAGCGUCUGGCCGAAAUAAAGGGUGAAGACUCUGUUAAUCAAAUUGUACUUCACCCAAAAGAAAAUCCUGAAAAGACCUCCACCUUAUGCACCUGUGUCCAUCGCUACUCUGAGACAGCGCAGACUCUUGUGCUGCAGAGCGAAGCGAGUGAGCAGGAGUAUAGUCUGCGCCGUUUAUGCCACCUGCAAUAUGAGGACCCAGACGCUGCAGG